rnacentral:rRNA from 1 species
GACGAGCCACACAAACGUUAUUCGGAAUUACUGGGCUUAAAGGGUGCGUAGGCGGCGUAGAAAGUUGGGUGUGAAAUCCCUCAGCUUAACUGAGGAAGGGCGCCCAAAACUACUAUGCUCGAGGGAGAUAGAGGAGUGCGGAACUUAGGGUGGAGCGGUGAAAUGCGUUGAUAUCCUAGGGAACACCGGUGGCGAAAGCGGCACUCUGGAUCUCUUCUGACGCUGAGGCACGAAAGCUAGGGUAGCAAACGGG